rnacentral:lncRNA from 1 species
GUAGUAGAAAAGGUUCUUGCUGGAGCCUUAAGGCGAGAUAUGGCUUUGAAAGGUUCUUACAAGUGUAUGUUCUUGGGUUAAUCCGACCAAAAUUUGCUAAACUCAAUUGGGACAUACACUUUGGUGGUAAGUAUACUGUGAGGAUUUUAGUGAUCGCAGUGGAUGCGGAUGCCCUUGCUUAAAUCUUUAAUUCUUGAUAACUGUGAGACGAUGAGGCCGACAUGCUUAAGCACUAUUUAGCCAACAAAGCUUCUCAUGUUCUUCAUCAAAAGCAAUGGGAAUUGAAUUCAACCUUCUCAUCGAUUAAGGCUAGGGAUUUGAUUCCAUGUUUUUAGGGCUUCAUCGAAGUAUAUUCAACAGAUGUUAAGAGGAAGUAUAUGAACUUCAAGAAGUUUGAUAUUGUUGAG